rnacentral:rRNA from 1 species
UGGGGAAUCUUGCACAAUGGGGGAAACCCUGAUGCAGCGACGCCGCGUGAACGAUGAAGCCCUUCGGGGUGUAAAGUUCUUUCGACAGGAACGAUAAUGACGGUACCUGGAGAAGAAGCUGCGGCUAACUACGUGCCAGCAGCCGCGGUAAUACGUAGGCAGCGAGCGUUGUUCGGAGUUACUGGGCGUAAAGAGUGCGUAGGCGGCGAGCCAAGUUUGGUGUGAAAUCUCCCGGCUUAACCGGGAGGGUGCGCCGAAAACUGGUUGGCUGGAGUAUGGGAGAGGAUAGCGGAAUUCCUGGUGUAGCGGUGAAAUGCGUAGAUAUCAGGAGGAACACCUGCGGUGUAGACAGCUUUCUGGACCAAAACUGACGCUGAGGCACGAAAGCGUGGGUAGCAAACA